rnacentral:rRNA from 1 species
GACGAACGCUGGCGGCGUGCUUAACACAUGCAAGUCGAACGGAAAGGCCCUGCUUGCAGGGUACUCGAGUGGCGAACGGGUGAGUAACACGUGGGUGAUCUGCCCUGCACUUCGGGAUAAGCCUGGGAAACUGGGUCUAAUACCGGAUAGGAGCCAUUUUUAGUGUGAUGGUUGGAAAGUUUUUUCGGUGUAGGAUGAGCUCGCGGCCUAUCAGCUUGUUGGUGGGGUAAUGGCCUACCAAGGCGGCGACGGGUAGCCGGCCUGAGAGGGUGGACGGCCACAUUGGGACUGAGAUACGGCCCUGACUCCUACGGGAGGCAGCAGUGGGGAAUAUUGCACAAUGGGCGCAAGCCUGAUGCAGCGACGCCGCGUGGGGGAUGACGGCCUUCGGGUUGUAAACUCCUUUCGCUAGGGACGAAGCUUUUUGUGACGGUACCUAGAUAAGAAGCACCGGCUAACUACGUG